rnacentral:rRNA from 1 species
AUUGAACGCUGGCGGCAGGCCUAACACAUGCAAGUCGAACGAGUGGCGGACGGGUGAGUAAUGUAUGGGAAACUGCCUGAUGGAGGGGGAUAACAACUGGAAACGGUAGCUAAUACCGCAUACCAUCAGAUGUGCCCAGAUGGGAUUAGCUUGUUGGUGGGGUAACGGCUCACCAAGGCGACGAUCCCUAGCUGGUCUGAGAGGAGGACCAGCCAGCCUGGAAGUGAGGCACGGUCCAGACUCCUACGGGAGGCAGCAGGGGGGAAUAUUGCACAAUGGGCUCAAGCCUUGUGCAGCCAUGCCGCGUGUAUGAAGAGGGCCUUCGGGGUGUAAAGUACUUUCAGCGGGGAGGCGUUACCCGCAGAAGAAGCACCGGCUAACUCCGUGCGAGCCGCCGCGGUAAUAC